rnacentral:rRNA from 1 species
AGAGUUUGAUCCUGGCUCAGGACGAACGCUGGCGGCGUGCCUAACACAUGCAAGUCCAGGAGAAUUGGUUUCUUCGGAAUCCAUAGUAAACUGGCGAACGGGUGAGUAACACGUAAGUAACCUGCCCUGGAGACGGGGAUAACACUGCUAACGCGGUGCUAAUACCGGAUAAUGCAGCGGAUCCGCAUGGAUAUGUUGUUAAAGCUGGCCUCUUCAUGAAAGCUAGCACUUCAGGAUGGACUUGCGUCCCAUUAGUUUGUUGGCGGGGUAACGGCCCACCAAGACUACGAUGGGUAGCCGGCCUGAGAGGGUGAUCGGCCACACUGGGACUGAGAUACGGCCCAGACUCCUACGGGAGGCAGCAGUGAGGAAUAUUGCGCAAUGGUCGCAAGACUGACGCAGCAACGCCGCGUGAGGGAUGAAGUACUUCGGUAUGUAAACCUCUGUUAGAAGGGAAGAACGGGUGGAUGUCGAACAGGCAUUCAUCGUGACGGUACCUUCAGAGAAAGCCCCGGCUAACUCCGUGCCAGCAGCCGCGGUAAUACGGGGGGGGCAAGCGUUGUCCGGAAUUAUUGGGCGUAAAGGGCGCGUAGGUGGGACAGCAAGUCUGGGGUGCAAUCUUACGGCUUAACUGUAAGCUUGCCCUGGAUACUACUGUUCUUGAGUUCGGAAGAGGGUAGUGGAAUUCCUGGUGUAGCGGUGAAAUGCGUAGAUAUCAGGAAGAACACCGGUGGCGAAGGCGGCUACCUGGUCCGAUACUGACACUGAGGCGCGAAAGUGCGGGGAGCAAACAGGAUUAGAUACCCUGGUAGUCCGCACAGUAAACGUUGGACACUAGGUGUUGGUCUUUAUGAGAUCAGCGCCGCAGCUAACGCAUUAAGUGUCCCGCCUGGGGAGUACGACCGCAAGGUUGAAACUCAAAGGAAUUGACGGGGGCCC